rnacentral:rRNA from 2 species
AAGACCAAGGGUUCCUGUCCAACGUUAAUCGGGGCAGGGUGAGUCGACCCCUAAGGCGAGGCCGAAAGGCGUAGUCGAUGGGAAACGGGUUAAUAUUCCCGUACUUGGUGUUACUGCGAAGGGGGGACGGAGAAGGCUAUGUUGGCCGGGCGACGGUUGUCCCGGUUUAAGCGUGUAGGUGUGUGUUCCAGGUAAAUCCGGUUCACUUUAACACUGAGGCGUGACGACGAGGCACUACGGUGCUGAAGCAACAAAUGCCCUGCUUCCAGGAAAAGCCUCUAAGCAUCAGGUAACAUCAAAUCGUACCCCAAACCGACACAGGUGGUCAGGUAGAGAAUACCAAGGCGCUUGAGAGAACUCGGGUGAAGGAACUAGGCAAAAUGGUGCCGUAACUUCGGGAGAAGGCACGCUGACACGUAGGUGAAGUGAUUUACUCAUGGAGCUGAAGUCAGUCGAAGAUACCAGCUGGCUGCAACUGUUUAUUAAAAACACAGCACUGUGCAAACACGAAAGUGGACGUAUACGGUGUGACGCCUGCCCGGUGCCGGAAGGUUAAUUGAUGGGGUCAGCGCAAGCGAAGCUCCUGAUCGAAGCCCCGGUAAACGGCGGCCGUAACUAUAACGGUCCUAAGGUAGCGAAAUUCCUUGUCGGGUAAGUUCCGACCUGCACGAAUGGCGUAAUGAUGGCCAGGCUGUCUCCACCCGAGACUCAGUGAAAUUGAACUCGCUGUGAAGAUGCAGUGUACCCGCGGCAAGACGGAAAGACCCCGUGAACCUUUACUAUAGCUUGACACUGAACAUUGAGCCUUGAUGUGUAGGAUAGGUGGGAGGCUUUGAAGCGUGGACGCCAGUCUGCGUGGAGCCGACCUUGAAAUACCACCCUUUAAUGUUUGAUGUUCUAACGUGGACCCGUGAUCCGGGUUGCGGACAGUGUCUGGUGGGUAGUUUGACUGGGGCGGUCUCCUCCUAAAGAGUAACGGAGGAGCACGAAGGUUGGCUAAUCCUGGUCGGACAUCAGGAGGUUAGUGCAAUGGCAUAAGCCAGCUUGACUGCGAGCGUGACGGCGCGAGCAGGUGCGAAAGCAGGUCAUAGUGAUCCGGUGGUUCUGAAUGGAAGGGCCAUCGCUCAACGGAUAAAAGGUACUCCGGGGAUAACAGGCUGAUACCGCCCAAGAGUUCAUAUCGACGGCGGUGUUUGGCACCUCGAUGUCGGCUCAUCACAUCCUGGGGCUGAAGUAGGUCCCAAGGGUAUGGCUGUUCGCCAUUUAAAGUGGUACGCGAGCUGGGUUUAGAACGUCGUGAGACAGUUCGGUCCCUAUCUGCCGUGGGCGCUGGAGAACUGAGGGGGGCUGCUCCUAGUACGAGAGGACCGGAGUGGACGCAUCACUGGUGUUCGGGUUGUCAUGCCAAUGGCACUGCCCGGUAGCUAAAUGCGGAAGAGAUAAGUGCUGAAAGCAUCUAAGCACGAAACUUGCCCCGAG